rnacentral:lncRNA from 1 species
UUGGUUACUUUUUCUACCAUCUCCCCUUAGCUUAAAGCCAUUAUUCUAAAUCUGUGAAUAACUUAACGAACUCUAAAUCAAACUAAAGCCACUCUUCUCUAGAGUAUGAGAUACAAUAAUACUCAUUAAUAUUGAACCCAUCCUAAAAGACUACCCUUGAUAAUGUAUGGCCUACUUCUAGUACUUUCUUUUGAUACACAAUUCUUAGCUUUCUAUAG